rnacentral:rRNA from 1 species
GUGCAGGAUGACAGUCCUAGUGAUUGUAAACUGCUUUUCUAUAAGAUGAAUAAGGACUACGUGUAGUUCGAUGACCGUAUUAUAGGAAUAAGCAUCGGCUAACUCCGUGCCAGCAGCCGCGGUAAUACGGAGGAUGCAAGCGUUAUCCGGAUUUAUUAGGUUUAAAGGGUGCGUAGGUGGGCGUUUAAGUCAGUGGUUAAAGCCAAUAGCUUAACUAUUGUAUGCCAUUGAAACUGGAUGUCUUGAAUAGGGUAGAGGUAGGCGGAAUGUGUUGUGUAGCGGUGAAAUGCUUAGAUAUAACACAGAACACCGAUUGCGAAGGCAGCUUACUAUGCCUUUAUUGACACUGAUGCACGAAAGCGUGGGGAUCAAAGAGGAUUAGAUACCCUGGUAGUCCACGCUGUAACCUAUGUUAGGAUCGUUUUUGGCAAUACAUCGUCAGAGACUAAGCGAAAGCAUUAAGUGAUCCACCUGGGGAGUAUGUUCGCAAGAAUGAAACUCAAAGGAAUUGACGGGGGCCCGCACAAGCGGAGGAACAUGUGGUUUAAUUCGAUGAUACGCGAGGAACCUUACCCAGGCUCGAACGGCAGAGGAAUUGUGAAGAGAUUCACAAGUCUUCGGACUUCUGUCGAGGUGCUGCAUGGUUGUCGUCAGCUCGUGCCGUGAGGUGUCGGCUUAAGUGCCAUAACGAGCGCAACCCUUGUCGCUAGUUGCCAUCAGGUUAAGCUGGGGACUUUAGCGAGACUGCCUUCGUAAGAUGUGAGGAAGGGGGGGAUGACGUCAAAUCAGCACGGCCCUUACGUCUGGGGCGACACACGUGUUACAAUGGUUGGUACAGAGGGUUGCAUGCUGGUGACAGUUUGCCAAUCUCUAAAUCCAAUCUCAGUUCGGAUUGGAGUCUGCAACUCGACUCCAUGAAGUUGGAUUCGCUAGUAAUCGCACAUCAGCCAUGGUGCGGUGAAU